GGGUAUUGCGAUUACAUAUAGAAAUAAAAAUAAAAAAUCUCUUUAUUAUAGGGUAUAAAUUCCCCCAAAAAAGUAAAUAAAACUUAAUAAAAACCUAACACACACUAGAGAGAAAUAAGAGAAUCUAGGUGAGGAAGGAGAGGUGAAAAUAAAGUGAUACUAAAAAGUAUCACAACAAGAAAAAAUCUUUGUAUACAACAAUAAGUUAUGUCUCCCCUAAAAUUAUAUAGCGAUCUAGGUAGUAGCUAUCCUGUAUAACAGAGUGUAACAAUUGCCAAAUGUUAGCCCUAAAUGCUGAUUGUGGAUACAAAGUAUCCUCUAAAGUAACAACAGCUGGUGAGCGUAGAAGGCAAAAGAAAUAAACCGGACUUCCUGCUACCCAGGAUUCCAGACUAAGGACACUAAUAUAGCCUAUGCUGUGAGAGGGAUUCCACUAGAGAUCCACAAUACUAUACGCUAAGGCUAUCCAUAUAAUGAAGGAGUCCGUCUGUAAUAACUACCCAUCACUCUAAAUAAAUUUCUCAAUCAUUUCUCUCUAACCCCUAAUGUGCAUAGAAAAAGUGCUGUGGUUUAAAAUAAAUAAGGCAUAAAUCCUGACGCACGUUUCGGCGCUACCUGAGCGCCUUUGUCAAAGGUAACGACGACCUUUGACAAAGGCGCUCGGGUAGCUCGAGACAAAGCUCCGUGUUGAGGGUCAAGCAGUGAACAGUCAGAGCUAUGGGUUUAUUGUGCUUAUGUACACAUUCUUACACAUUAGUACCACCCAGAGGGUUUUGGAACACAACCAAUAAACACAUACAAUACACUCAGACACUCCCACACAAAUUCCU